rfam:Bombyx mori DNA, contig: Bm_scaf35_contig20969, strain: p50T/Dazao, build 2, whole genome shotgun sequence.
AUGAUCUCUGUACCACAAUCUUCAUACACCCAGUGAUAGAAUGUCAAACAUAUCAACUGUGAGUAUGAUGACUGCAUUACAGAGAGACAG